rnacentral:rRNA from 1 species
GGCUUAGAGUUUGAUCAUGGCUCAGGAUGAACGCUGGCGGCGUGCCUAACACAUGCAAGUCGAACGGAGCGCCUUGAGAGAUCCUUCGGGUGACCUUUUGGCGACUGAGUGGCGGACGGGUGAGUAACGCGUGGGUAACCUGCCCUGUACAGGGGGAUAACAGCCAGAAAUGGCUGCUAAUACCGCAUAAGCGCACAGGAAGACAUCUUCCGGUGUGAAAAACUCCGGUGGUACAGGAUGGGCCCGCGUCUGGUUAGCUGGUUGGCGGGGUAACGGCCCACCAAGGCGACGAUCAGUAGCCGGUCUGAGAGGAUGAACGGCCACAUUGGAACUGAGACACGGUCCAAACUCCUACGGGAGGCAGCAGUGGGGAAUAUUGCACAAUGGGGGAAACCCUGAUGCAGCAACGCCGCGUGAGUGAAGAAGUAUUUCGGUAUGUAAAGCUCUAUCAGCAGGGAAGAUGAUGACGGUACCUGACUAAGAAGCUCCGGCUAAAUACGUGCCAGCAGCCGCGGUAAUACGUAUGGAGCAAGCGUUAUCCGGAUUUACUGGGUGUAAAGGGUGCGUAGGCGGCAGGGCAAGUCAGAUGUGAAAGACCGGGGCUUAACUCCGGGGCUGCAUUUGAAACUGCUUUGCUUGAGUCCGGGAGAGGCAGGCG